AGCAGCCGCGGUAAUUCCAGCUCCAAUAGCGUAUAUUAAAGUUGUUGUGGUUAAAAAGCUCGUAGUAGAACCUUGGGCCUGGCUGGCCGGUCCGCCUCACCGCGUGCACUGGUCCGGCCGGGCCUUUCCCUCUGUGGAACCGCAUGCCCUUCACUGGGUGUGCCGGGGAAACAGGACUUUUACUUUGAAAAAUUAGAGUGCUCCAGGCAGGCCUAUGCUCGAAUACAUUAGCAUGGAAUAAUAGAAUAGGACGUGUGGUUCUAUUUUGUUGGUUUCUAGGACCGCCGUAAUGAUUAAUAGGGACAGUCGGGGGCAUCAGUAUUCAAUUGUCAGAGGUGAAAUUCUUGGAUUUAUUGAAGACUAACUACUGCGAAAGCAUUUGCCAAGGAUGUUUUCAUUUAUCAGGAACGAAAGUUAGGGGAUCGAAGACGAUCAGAUACCGUCGUAGUCUUAACCAUAAACUAUGCCGACUAGGGAUCGGACGAUGUUAUUUUUGACUCGUUCGGCACCUUACGGGAAA
rnacentral:misc_RNA from 1 species